UCCUUUUUCUUUUCUUUUCUUUUCUUCUCUUUUCUUUCUUCCACAAAAUGGUGA
rnacentral:ribozyme from 1 species